rnacentral:lncRNA from 1 species
UAUUUUUCUUGCGUUGCCUAGCAGCAAGCUAGCGGCACGCCAGACGCGCGUGCAUACGUCAUGCGCCAGACAAGCCGCAGGAGCGAGCAAGGCCGGCUGCGCAUGCGAAGCUCGAGUGCUCGGCGACCCGUCUGUUUUGGACGUAGCCCGUUUUUUGGGGCUCCCGGCGUUCUUUUGUGUUCCGUCUGCAUUUCGACACGGCACCGCUGCACUACUGGACUACAGCAAGCUGAUUGCAUCCGGUGGAGCUUCGUACGGCAACGACUGCUGCUUACCUGGUGCCACAACUUUGGAUGAAUGCAGAAUCUCGGAACGAGCAUUUAUAUAGAGCAAAACAAACAGUUCAUCAUUUCAGAA